AGGACCACACAGUACAGGUUCAGGUUUAGAGUUAGUAACACAGUGACCUGCCUAGGACCACACAGUACAGGUUCAGGUUUAGAGUUAGUAACACAGUGACCUGCCUAGGACCACACAGUACAGGUUCAGGUUUAGGGUUAGUAACACAGUGACCUGCCUAGGACCACACAGUACAGGUUCAGGUUUAGAGUUAGUAACACAGUGACCUGCCUAGGACCACACAGUACAGGUUUAGAGUUAGUAACACAGUGACCUGCCUAGGACCACACAGUACAGGUUCAGGUUUAGAGUUAGUAACACAGUGACCUGCCUAGGACCACACAGUACAGGUUCAGGUUUAGAGUUAGUAACACAGUGACCUGCCUAGGACCACACAGUACAGGUUCAGGUUUAGAGUUAGUAACACAGUGACCUGCCUAGGUCCACACAGUACAGGUUCAGGUUUAGGGUUAGUAACACAGUGACCUGCCUAGGACCACACAGUACAGGUUUAGAGUUAGUAACACAGUGACCUGCCUAGGACCACACAGUACAGGUUCAGGUUUAGAGUUAGUAACACAGUGACCUGCCUAGGACCACACAGUACAGGUUCAGGUUUAGAGUUAGUAACACAGUGACCUGCCUAGGACCACACAGUACAGGUUUAGAGUUAGUAACACAGUGACCUGCCUAGGACCACACAGUACAGGUUCAGGUUUAGAGUUAGUAACACAGUGACCUGCCUAGGACCACACAGUACAGGUUCAGGUUUAGAGUUAGUAACACAGUGACCUGCCUAGGACCACACAGUACAGGUUCAGGUUUAGAGUUAGUAACACAGUGACCUGCCUAGGACCACACAGUACAGGUUCAGGUUUAGAGUUAGUAACACAGUGACCUGCCUAGGACCACACAGUACAGGUUCAGGUUUAGGGUUAGUAACACAGUGACCUGUCUAGGACCACACAGUACAGGUUCAGGUUUAGAGUUAGUAACACAGUGACCUGCCUAGGACCACACAGUACAGGUUCAGGUUUAGAGUUAGUAACACAGUGACCUGCCUAGGACCACACAGUACAGGUUCAGGUUUAGAGUUAGUAACACAGUGACCUGCCUAGGACCACACAGUACAGGUUUAGAGUUAGUAACACAGUGACCUGCCUAGGACCACACA